GCUCUCUGGGAGCAAGUGCACGCCUUGUCAUCUUUAUAUCUCCACCUGUGCACUUUUUGUAGACCUUUUCAGGUCUAUGUUGCUUCAUUUUACCCCAAUGUAUGUCUAUAGAAUGUUGUGCCUAUGAUAAUAUAUACAACUUUCAGCAACGGAUCUCUUGGCUCUCGCAUCGAUGAAGAACGCAGCGAAAUGCGAUAAGUAAUGUGAAUUGCAGAAUUCAGUGAAUCAUCGAAUCUUUGAACGCACCUUGCGCUCCUUGGUAUUCCGAGGAGCAUGCCUGUUUGAGUGUCAUUAAUAUAAUCAACCUUCAACUUGUUUGAGUGGUUUGGAUGUGGGGGUUUGCUGGCCUUUCAAAAGGUUUCAGCUCCUCUGAAAUGCAUUAGCAGAACAAACCUUGUUCAUUGGUGUGAUAACUAUCUACGCUUAUGAAUGUGAGGGGCAGUUCAGCUUUCUAAUCGUCUUUGGACAAUUCAUCAUUAAUGUGACCUCAAAUCAGGUAGGACUACCCGCUGAACUUAAGCAUAUCAAUAGCGGGAGGGGA
rnacentral:rRNA from 1 species